rnacentral:rRNA from 1 species
AGUUACCAGCAACGUUAUGGUGGGCACUCUAAGGAGACUGCCGGUGACAAACCGGAGGAAGGUGGGGAUGACGUCAAAAAGUCAUCAUGGCCCUUACGGCCUGGGCUACACACGUGCUACAAUGGUCGGUACAAAGGGUUGCCAAGCCGCGAGGUGGAGCUAAUCCCAUAAAACCGAUCGUAGUCCGGAUCGCAGUCUGCAACUCGACUGCGUGAAGUCGGAAUCACUAGUAAUCGUGAAUCAGAAUGUCACGGUGAAUACGUUCCCGGGCCUU